UACGGGAGGCAGCAGUGGGGAAUAUUGCACAAUGGGCGCAAGCCUGAUGCAGCCAUGCCGCGUGUAUGAAGAAGGCCUUCGGGUUGUAAAGUACUUUCAGUCGUGAGGAAGGUGUUAAGGUUAAUAACCUUAGCAAUUGACGUUAGCGACAGAAGAAGCACCGGCUAACUCCGUGCCAGCAGCCGCGGUAAUACGGAGGGUGCGAGCGUUAAUCGGAAUUACUGGGCGUAAAGGGCACGCAGGCGGUUAAUUAAGUUGGAUGUGAAAUCCCCGGGCUUAACCUGGGAAUGGCAUUCAAGACUGGUUAGCUAGAGUCUUGUAGAGGGGGUAGAAUUCCAUGUGUAGCGGUGAAAUGCGUAGAGAUGUGGAGGAAAUACCGGUGGCGGAAGGCGGCCCCUCGGACAAAAGACUGACGCUCAUGUGCGAAAGCGUGGGGAGCAAACAGGGAUUAGAU
rnacentral:rRNA from 1 species